UGGGGAAUAUUGCACAAUGGGCGAAAGCCUGAUGCAGCCAUGCCGCGUGUAUGAAGAAGGCCUUCGGGUUGUAAAGUACUUUCAGCGAGGAGGAAGGCAUAAAGGUUAAUAACCUUUGUGAUUGACGUUACUCGCAGAAGAAGCACCGGCUAACUCCGUGCCAGCAGCCGCGGUAAUACGGGGGGUGCAAGCGUUAAGCGGAAUUACUGGGCGUAAAGCGCACGCAGGCGGUUUGUCAAGUCGGAUGUGAAAUCCCCGGGCUCAACCUGGGAACUGCAUUCGAAACGGGCAAACUAGAGUCUUGUAGAGGGGGGUAGAAUUCCAGGUGUAGCGGUGAAAUGCGUAGAGAUCUGGAGGAAUACCGGUGGCGAAGGCGGCCCCCUGGACAAAGACUGACGCUCAGGUGCGAAAGCGUGGGGAGCAAACA
rnacentral:rRNA from 1 species